UACAGAGGUCCCAAGCGUUGUUCGGAUUCACUGGGCGUAAAGGGUGCGUAGGCGGUCGGGUAAGUCUGACGUGAAAUCUUCGAGCCUAACUCGGAAACUGCGUCGGAUACUAUUCGGCUAGAGGAAUGGAGGGGAGACUGGAAUAGUCGGUGUAGCGGUGAAAUGCGUAGAGAUCGACUAGAACACCGGUGGCGAAGGCGGGUCUCUGGACAGUUCCUGACGCUCAUGCACGAAAGCCAGGGGAGCAAACGGG
rnacentral:rRNA from 1 species